CGGCUUCUGCCUGUUGCGGCGAAACGAAGUGAACGUGGGCAUCGAUGCCCCCGGCGGUCAGGAUCAGGUGUUCGCCCGAGAUGGCGUCGGUCCCGGCCCCAAGCGCGAGUCCCGGCGUGACGCCCGACAUCACUGACGGGUUUCCGGCCUUGCCGAUGCCGCAAAUCUCACCGUUUUUAAUUCCGACAUCGGCCUUGAUGAUGCCCAGAACCGCGUCGACAAUCGUCACGUUGGUGAUCACAAGAUCGGGCGCACCGGCCACACUCGUCAGUUCGUUGUCAAAGCCCAUGCCAUCG
rnacentral:sRNA from 1 species